AAUUUUGGACAAUGGGGGAAACCCUGAUCCAGCCAUCCCGCGUGUAUGAUGAAGGCCUUCGGGUUGUAAAGUACUUCUGGCAGAGAAGAAAAGGUACCUCCUAAUACGAGGUACUGCUGACGGUAUCUGCAGAAUAAGCACCGGCUAACUACGCGCCAGCCGCCGCGGUAAUACGUAGGGUGCAAGCGUUAAUCGGAAUUACUGGGCGUAAAGCGUGUGUGGGCGGUUCGGAAAGAAAGAUGUGACAUCCCAGGGCUCAACCUUGGAACUGCAUUUGUAACUGCCGAGCUAGAGUAUGUCAGAGGGGGGUAGAGUUCCACGUGUAGCAGUGAAAUGCGUAGAUAUGUGGAGGAAUACCGAUGGCGAAGGCAGCGCCCUGGGAUAAUACUGACGCUCAGACACGAAAGCGUGGGGAGCAAACAG
rnacentral:rRNA from 1 species